rnacentral:tRNA from 1 species
GGCGAGAUGGUCUAGUGGUAAGGACAAAGUGUUGCAAGUGCGUGAAGCCAGGAUCGAUACCUGGUUGUGCCG